rnacentral:rRNA from 1 species
UAAGGUCACGGCGAGACGAGCCGUUUAUCAUUACGAUAGGUGUCAAGUGUAAGUGCAGUGAUGUAUGCAGCUGAGGCAUCCUAACAGACCGAGAGAUUUGAAC